AUGCUUUUGAAAUGAAUGGGUUGCUGUCAACUCCUGUGUUGGAAAGAUUCCAGGAAGCAUGAUUUACAAAGACUGAGGCCUUUGCCCUCUGCAGUUUCCCUGUGUCCUGUGGAGUGGAUAAGUCCAAACUACAAUACUGCUUCAAACACCACAUGUUCCCUCUGAUAUCAACAGCCCCGAGAGGCUCUGUGGGGAGGUGGACAGAGGAACACAAGUAUUCUUCCCCCCACCUCUAUGGAGCAGCUGGGAGACUGAGGGACACCACCUAGAAAAAAAUUAAGCCUCAUAUUCAUCAGAGGGUGCAGGGCUCUUGUCUUGGAGAACUGACAUGGCUGGUGGGGCCUGAAGUGCUCCCUGGAAGCUGACAGAACGUAAAGGCCUAAGGAUCAUAAGGUGGCCCUUGAGUCCUUCAGGCCAUGAAGUCUCAUGUCAGACAACUCCCCGAAAAGAGAAGCUUUUGAAUGGGAGGUCUUGAAUAGACUGUUGGACCUCGUGAGGAAGCCUGGAGGACUGGAGUCAAGAACAAUGUCUCAUGGUGACAACAGAGGCCAUUGUCCUGGCUGCCAAGUCGGCAGCAUCCAGAGCAACCUGGAGAGAGGUCUUGGCCAUGUUCUUACCCUCCUCCAUGAGAGCAGUGAAUUCCUGCCUUGAA